AAUAGAUACCCCGGUAGUCCACGCCGUAAACGAUGUCGACUUGGAGGUUGUUCCCUUGAGGAGUGGCUUCCGGAGCUAACGCGUUAAGUCGACCGCCUGGGGAGUACGGCCGCAAGGUUAAAACUCAAAUGAAUUGACGGGGGCCCGCACAAGCGGUGGAGCAUGUGGUUUAAUUCGAUGCAACGCGAAGAACCUUACCUACUCUUGACAUCCAGAGGACUUAGCAGAGAUGCUUUGGUGCCUUCGGGAACUCUGAGACAGGUGCUGCAUGGCUGUCGUCAGCUCGUGUUGUGAAUGUUGGGUUAAGUCCCGCAACGAGCGCAACCCUUAUCCUUUGUUGCCAGCGGUUCGGCCGGGAACUCAAAGGAGACUGCCAGUGAUAAACUGGAGGAAGGUGGGGAUGACGUCAAGUCAUCAUGGCCCUUACGAGUAGGGCUACACACGUGCUACAAUGGCAUAUACAAAGAGAAGCGACCUCGCGAGAGCAAGCGGACCUCAUAAAGUAUGUCGUAGUCCGGAUUGGAGU
rnacentral:rRNA from 1 species